CGAAGCAGAAAAAUGAAAGACAGUGACAACAAAAGAAACUAAACUUUCCUGAGAUUUUGAUGGAAUAGCAUCCACUGCAGCCUUGGUGAAGUUUGCGAAAAACUAUCUGACGGUGGGUAGGGUGGGGGAUGGAAUCCUACAUGCUGAAAAUAUGCCAUUAUAUAAUGCUCCAUUCGCCUUUGGCAUUCUUCAAUUUUUUCUCGUCCCAUACUAAGCUGCUCUAAUCUCUCCUAUGUGGUGGAACUUGAACCAGAACCUGCUCCUGCAUCGACCUGGGGAGAAUUAGGCUCACCCUUAUCCAUGGGUCCCGACC
rnacentral:lncRNA from 1 species